rnacentral:lncRNA from 1 species
UACAGGUGUGAGCCACUGCACCCAGCAAACUCUCCUGUUAUUCUAAUCAUGUACAGGUAGUUCCUUUUGGUUUUGUAAGUAAAAAAGCAUUAUCAUCUGCAAGUAUUGACAGCUUUUUAUCAACUUAAAAAGUUUUUAUGCACCUUUUUAUUUUUUCUGGUUUUAUUGCCCUAGCAAAACUCUUCAAUACAUUGUUGCCUAAAUGUGGCAAUAGAAUAAUUUUUUUUUUCCAUUUCUAACUUGGAAGAGGAUUCUUCCAACAAUUUUUCAUUUAGGGAAUGCACCACACUCUCGAUGUGCGUACAGAGAAGAUGGCUGGCUGGCUGGAUCCAGGGUUUUAAUGUUUCCAGAGCCCUGCCUGGAACCAGUUGGCUUAUCUAGAAAGCAUCUGAGUCUCAUUCUCAUCUUCAUCUCCUCCCCAUCCACCUUCUCUUUCCACCCCAUAACAAUAUGGGGGAUGCGAGGAUGAAUGGAAC